rnacentral:rRNA from 1 species
AGUGAACGCUGGCGGUAGGCCUAACACAUGCAAGUCGAACGGCAGCACAGGAGAGCUUGCUCUCUGGGUGGCGAGUGGCGGACGGGUGAGGAAUACAUCGGAAUCUGCCCAGUCGUGGGGGAUAACGUAGGGAAACUUACGCUAAUACCGCAUACGACCUUCGGGUGAAAGAGGGGGAUCGCAAGACCUCUCGCGAUUGGAUGAGCCGAUGUCGGAUUAGCUAGUUAGCGGGGUAAUGGCCCACCAAGGCGACGAUCCGUAGCUGGUCUGAGAGGAUGAUCAGCCACACUGGAACUGAGACACGGUCCAGACUCCUACGGGAGGCAGCAGUGGGGAAUAUUGGACAAUGGGCGCAAGCCUGAUCCAGCCAUACCGCGUGGGUGAAGAAGGCCUUCGGGUUGUAAAGCCCUUUUGUUGGGAAAGAAAUCUUUCAGGCUAAUACCCUGGGAGGAUGACGGUACCCAAAGAAUAAGCACCGGCUAACUUCGUG